rnacentral:rRNA from 1 species
AAGCUCGUAGUUGAAUUUCGGACCUGGUUGGGCGGUCCGCUUAACGGCGAGUACUGUCUGACUGGGCCUUACCUCUUGGUGAGCCGGCGUGCCCUUUAUUGGUGUGCGUCGGGGGAACCAGGACUUUUACCUUGAGAAAUUAGACUGUUCAAAGCAGGCCUAUGCCCGAAUACAUUAGCAUGGAAUAAUAAAAUGGACGUGCGGUUCUAUUUUGUUGGUUUCUAGAGUCGCCGUAAUGAUUANAGGGAUAGUUGGG